AAGAUAAAUGUACAAAAUUUAAAGUAAUUUUUACGUACCUCAAUAUUUAAAAGUGUGGAGAUACGUAUUUGAGAAUACCUGGGCCUAGGCAUCGGUAUUAGCGUGGUACAUCCAAUUGAGUCCGUUAGUCAAGAGCAUUAGUCCUCGCAAACAAAAUAAAUAAAAAACAAUCACUACUUAUUACUUAAAAUUCAAAUCAGCAUAAUUUAAAAUAAACAAAACAUAAAAUAAGCCAUUGUCUAAUAUUACCUAAUUAAAUUGAGCCUGAAGUUGAACCCGGGUAACUUCAAGUUCAAGUUAAUUACGGUUCAAGAUAAUGUACCAAUAUUUUAAAAUACUUUUUAUCUACCUAAUAAUUAAAGUGUGGAGAUACGUAUUGCGAGUACUGAGCAAGGCAUCGGUAUUAGGCGUGGGACAUCCAAUCGAGGACCGUUAGCAAGAUCAUUAUUGUCUCGCAAACAAAUAAAUGAAAAACAGUCACUACUUAUUACUUAAUUCAAAUCUGCAUAAUUUAAAAUAGACAAAACAUAACAUAAACACUGUGUAAUAAAAAUAUAUACUUGACCUUGAAGUUGAACAAGGGUAGCUUCAAGUUCAAGAGAAAGUACAAAAUUUAAAGUAAUUUUAUAUUCCUCAUAUUAAAAGUGUUGGAGAUACGUAUUUGAGAAUACUUGGGCCUAGGCAUCGGUAUAGCGUGGUAAUCCCAGAGUUACGUAGUCCAGAGAUUAGGUCCGCGCAACAAAUAAAUGAACAAACAGUCACUACUUACUACUUAAAAUCAAAUCAGCAUUACUUUAAAAUAACAAAAAUAAGAAUAAGCAAUUGUCUAAUAUUACCUAUUAAAUGUGAGCCUGAAAUUGAACCCGGGUACUUCACUUCAAGUUAGAAUACGGUUCAAGCUAAAUGUAAAAAUUUAAAUAAUUUUUACGUACUCAAUAUUUAAAAGUGCGGAAGAUCGUAAUGGAGAGUACCUGGGCCUAGGAUCGGUAUUAGUGGUACAUCAGUUGUGUCCUUUAGUCAAGAUCAUACCUCGCAAACAAAACAAUGAAAAACAAUCACUACUAUUACUUAAAAUCAAAUCAGCAUAAUUUAAAAUAGACAAAACAUAGAUAAAGCCAUGUCUAAUAUAAUAUCUAAUUAACUUGAGCUUGAGUUGAACCCCAGUUACUUCAUGUUCAAGUUAAUUACGGUUCAAGAUAAAUGUACAAAAUUUAAAGUAAUUUUAGUACCUCAAUAUUUAAAAGUGUGGAGAUACGUAUUGAGAAUACUUGGGCCUAGGCUAAAGUAUUGCGUGGACAUCCAAUUGAGUAGUUAGUCAAGGGUAUUAGUCCUCGCCAAACAAAAAAAAUAAAAAAAAAUUGUCACUACUUAUUACUUAAAAUUCAAAUCAGGCAUAAUUUGAAUAGACAAAACAUAAAAUAAGCCAUUUGUAUAAAAUACCUAUUAACUUGAGCUUAAGUUGAACCCGGGUAACUUCAUUGUUCUAGUUAAAUUACGGGUCAAGAUAAAUGUACAAAAGUCAAUGUAAUUUGUAAUUACUCAUAUUUAAAAGUUGGAGAUACGUAUUUGAGAAUACCUGGGCGUAGGAUCGUCUUAGGUGGUACAUCAAUCGAGUCCGUUGGAGAUAGUUCUCGUAAAACAAACAAACGAAAAACGUCACUAUUAGUCUUAAAGAUUCAAAUUCAGCAACUUUCAAUAGACAAAAACAUAUAAUAAGUCAUUGUCUAAUAAACCUAAUUAAAUUAGGUUGAAGUUGAAUACGGGUAACUUCAAGUCAAGUUAAUUACAGUUCAAGAUAAAUGUAUAAAAAUUACAGUGCAAGUAAUGUAUAAAGUAUAAAAUUUACAGUUCAAGUUAAUUUAUAUCCUCAAUAUUUAAAAGUGUGGAGAUACGUAUUUGAGAAUACUGGGCCUAGGGCAGCGGUAUUUAGCGUGGUCAUCGAUCGAGCCGUAGUCAAGAACAUUAAUCCUCGCCAAACAAAAUCAAUAUAAAAAGUCUCUACUUACUUACUUAUUAAUUAAAUCAAGUAUAAUUUGAAAUAGACAAAACAUAGCAUAAAAUAUUGUGUAUAAAAGCAAAUUAACUUGAGUUGAGGUUGAACCGGGUAACUUGUCAAGUCACAAGUUAAUUACGGUCAAGAUAAAUGUACAAAAUUUAAAGUUAAUGUUUUUACAUACCUCAAUAUUUAAAAGUGUGGAGAUUACGUAUUUGAGAGUACCUGAGCCUAGGCAUCGGUAUGCGUGGUACAUCCAAUCGAGUACGUUAGCAAGAGCAUUAGGCUCGCAAACAAAAUAAAUGGCAAACAGUCAAACUUACUACUUAAAAUUCACAUCAAUAUAAUUUGAAAUAGACAAAACAUCAAACAUAAACCAUUGUGUAAUAAAAUAUAAUUAACUUGAGCUUGAAGUUGAACCAGGGUAACUUCAAGUUCCAAGUUAAUCACGGUUCAGGAUAAAUGUACAAAAUUUAAAGUAAUUUUUACGUACCUGUCAAUAUUUACAAGGUGAAGAUACGAUUUGGAGUAAAUGGCCUAGCAUCGUAUUAGCGUGGUACAUCCAAUUGAGUCCGUUAGUCAAGAGCAUUAGUCCUCGAAACAAAAUAAAUGAAAAACAAUCACUACUUAUUACUUAAAAUUCAAAUCAGCAUAAUUUAAAAUAAACAAAACAUAAAAUAAGCCAUUGUGCAAUAGGUACCUAAUUAAAUUGAGCCUGA
rnacentral:lncRNA from 1 species